CCUGCAUUCAAGAAACGUGAUACUCAAGUUUGUGAACUUGGCCUGCAAGUAGAAGAUAUAAUCAAAAUUACUAUACUUGCUUUCCAAGUUUAGUAAUUUUUUUGUUUAUAUAAAGAAAAUGAGUUGGAAAUAAAGAAACAUAGAGAAAACUUCUUUUAGUCUGUAUUCUGCAGCAACCACAAAUGACAGAGCAAAUAAGAAGCAACGGAUGCGUCUAUUCUGCUUUAUUUUCUCUCCCUUGCAGAUCAGGUUUUUUAUGAGUCGACCUAUGUUUUAUUGAUUCUAAAUAUGUACGGAUUUUGUGUGUUCAAAGCUGGAUGUCUCUUUAUUUUCGUUUCUGUUUUACAAAAUAAUUAUAUUCAUAUCGAUGGUUAUUAGAAGUAAACUGCAGUAUUCUUGUGAUUUAUGUGUAUCAGUUCAUAUUAUAAGUUAUUUUAUGCAUGUAUACAAUUGAUAUUAUAAGUUAUUUUAUGCACGUAUAAUGUUUUCUUAUGGAAACAACUGAAUAAUAUCCGAUGUGAAAAAAAACAUAAAUUUGGCAAAUAGCAACACUAUUUGAAACUGUAUAGCAAAAUAAAUAUUUGCAAAUUUUUUAGAAAAAAAUUAAAUUAUUUAGUAAAUUAAAUUCAUUUCAGUGAUUUUAAAUUCUAAUUAUUUAAAUAUAAAAAAAAAUAGUUUCAGGAGAGGGAUAUGUUAAUUUUGUUUUGAAAUAUCAACAUUUUUUUUUGGAUAAAUGAUCAUUAUAUUAGCAUAACCACAAAGGCGUGGAAGACAAACGUCUUUACGAAAAAGACAAUCUAGACAUAAUUACAGAAAAAAGAUAAAUCAUUUUCAAAAACAUCAACAUUUUAAAAUGGUUUUCUAUGAUAUCAUUUUAAUUUAUUUGAUGUAGUAAUUUUCUUUUAUUGAUUAAUCUAAAAAUAAUAGUUUCAGAAGGGAUAUGUUAGUUUGUUUUGAAAUAUUUACAUUUUAAAAUGAUUUUCUAUGAUAUGAUCUUAAUUUAUUUUAUUUAGUAGUUUUUAUUUUUUUAUUGGUUAAAUCUUAGUAAGAAUAAUCGAGGGUCUCUUUUUUAAAACUCCUAUCCUUGCUAAUAAUUUCGACAAAACCAACUAUACUAUUUGAUCUCUUUUAGUAAUUUUUUUUUUAUUUCUGAUUAAAAAGACCAAUUUUUUCAAUCUAUUUUUAGAUAAAAAAAAACAGUGCUAAUUUAUGCUGUUUUUAUUUAUUCUUCACACUGACGUUUACUAAAUAUUAAAAACCUUCCUUUAUGUUUUAUUUACACAGAAACCUUUAUGAAUAAUACAUUUUUAGACCUCUUUUAGUAAACGCUGUAAAUACAUUAAUAAAAGAUUUGCAUAUGAAUUUUAAAGUUAUCUUAUGAACUUAGCCUCCAAGUCAAAGAUAAAUAUGCCUACACUUACUUGCAAAGUUUAGCAGAUAACAAUAUACGUAUGCUUGCUGGCCAAGUUAAAAGCGUAAUCUAUUAAUAUACAAAUCAGUUGUAUGGCAUAGAAUAGGUUUAUUUUUUACCAUGUGACUUCUAUUGAGUAGCAUUUUUUUUUAGCCAUGAAACAAAUCAAUUUUAUCAGAGCUGAGGAAGAAGUUAAGUUGUGAUAUUAUAAAUUCCCAAUCAGUCCGAACAAAGGUUGAACAACAGAGAAUGCUGCUGGUCUACCGGUUGGCCAAGAUUUACAUGGUCUCCAAACUUAUAGACCUCGCUCACUUUCCAUUUUCAGUCAUGUUUGAAUGCACGUUGACACAGAAUUCAAGAAGAUGUCUAGACGUUGAAUGAUCUGUUAGAUUGGGUGUGGAUGGGACAUUUCGGCUAUUAGAGAGGCAAAUAUCCUACCAGUUGAAUAUGCGGCUGGAGUUGAAUAUGCGGCUGGUGGUUGACGGCAGCAAAGGCUUUGGUUUACUUUUUAUGUUUAGGGCAAAUGUAAAUUAAGCUAUAAUAUAUAUAAGUAUAUAACUUUGUUUGGACAAUUGAAAUUCUAUUUAAUAGGAAUCAACAACUCUGAUUAAUAAUUUAA